GGUUAAGCGACUAAGCGUACACGGUGGAUGCCCUGGCAGUCAGAGGCGAUGAAGGACGUGCUAAUCUGCGAUAAGCGUCGGUAAGGUGAUAUGAACCGUUAUAACCGGCGAUUUCCGAAUGGGGAAACCCAGUGUGUUUCGACACACUAUCAUUAACUGAAUCCAUAGGUUAAUGAGGCGAACCGGGGGAACUGAAACAUCUAAGUACCCCGAGGAAAAGAAAUCAACCGAGAUUCCCCCAGUAGCGGCGAGCGAACGGGGAGCAGCCCAGAGCCUGAAUCAGUGUGUGUGUUAGUGGAAGCGUCUGGAAAGGCGCGCGAUACAGGGUGACAGCCCCGUACACAAAAAUGCACAUGCUGUGAGCUCGAUGAGUAGGGCGGGACACGUGGUAUCCUGUCUGAAUAUGGGGGGACCAUCCUCCAAGGCUAAAUACUCCUGACUGACCGAUAGUGAACCAGUACCGUGAGGGAAAGGCGAAAAGAACCCCGGCGAGGGGAGUGAAAAAGAACCUGAAACCGUGUACGUACAAGCAGUGGGAGCACGCUUAGGCGUGUGACUGCGUACCUUUUGUAUAAUGGGUCAGCGACUUAUAUUCUGUAGCAAGGUUAACCGAAUAGGGGAGCCGAAGGGAAACCGAGUCUUAACUGGGCGUUAAGUUGCAGGGUAUAGACCCGAAACCCGGUGAUCUAGCCAUGGGCAGGUUGAAGGUUGGGUAACACUAACUGGAGGACCGAACCGACUAAUGUUGAAAAAUUAGCGGAUGACUUGUGGCUGGGGGUGAAAGGCCAAUCAAACCGGGAGAUAGCUGGUUCUCCCCGAAAGCUAUUUAGGUAGCGCCUCGUGAAUUCAUCUCCGGGGGUAGAGCACUGUUUCGGCAAGGGGGUCAUCCCGACUUACCAACCCGAUGCAAACUGCGAAUACCGGAGAAUGUUAUCACGGGAGACACACGGCGGGUGCUAACGUCCGUCGUGAAGAGGGAAACAACCCAGACCGCCAGCUAAGGUCCCAAAGUCAUGGUUAAGUGGGAAACGAUGUGGGAAGGCCCAGACAGCCAGGAUGUUGGCUUAGAAGCAGCCAUCAUUUAAAGAAAGCGUAAUAGCUCACUGGUCGAGUCGGCCUGCGCGGAAGAUGUAACGGGGCUAAACCAUGCACCGAAGCUGCGGCAGCGACGCUUAUGCGUUGUUGGGUAGGGGAGCGUUCUGUAAGCCUGUGAAGGUGUACUGUGAGGUAUGCUGGAGGUAUCAGAAGUGCGAAUGCUGACAUAAGUAACGAUAAAGCGGGUGAAAAGCCCGCUCGCCGGAAGACCAAGGGUUCCUGUCCAACGUUAAUCGGGGCAGGGUGAGUCGACCCCUAAGGCGAGGCCGAAAGGCGUAGUCGAUGGGAAACAGGUUAAUAUUCCUGUACUUGGUGUUACUGCGAAGGGGGGACGGAGAAGGCUAUGUUGGCCGGGCGACGGUUGUCCCGGUUUAAGCGUGUAGGCUGGUUUUCCAGGCAAAUCCGGAAAAUCAAGGCUGAGGCGUGAUGACGAGGCACUACGGUGCUGAAGCAACAAAUGCCCUGCUUCCAGGAAAAGCCUCUAAGCAUCAGGUAACAUCAAAUCGUACCCCAAACCGACACAGGUGGUCAGGUAGAGAAUACCAAGGCGCUUGAGAGAACUCGGGUGAAGGAACUAGGCAAAAUGGUGCCGUAACUUCGGGAGAAGGCACGCUGAUAUGUAGGUGAAGCGACUUGCUCGUGGAGCUGAAAUCAGUCGAAGAUACCAGCUGGCUGCAACUGUUUAUUAAAAACACAGCACUGUGCAAACACGAAAGUGGACGUAUACGGUGUGACGCCUGCCCGGUGCCGGAAGGUUAAUUGAUGGGGUCAGCGCAAGCGAAGCUCUUGAUCGAAGCCCCGGUAAACGGCGGCCGUAACUAUAACGGUCCUAAGGUAGCGAAAUUCCUUGUCGGGUAAGUUCCGACCUGCACGAAUGGCGUAAUGAUGGCCAGGCUGUCUCCACCCGAGACUCAGUGAAAUUGAACUCGCUGUGAAGAUGCAGUGUACCCGCGGCAAGACGGAAAGACCCCGUGAACCUUUACUAUAGCUUGACACUGAACAUUGAGCCUUGAUGUGUAGGAUAGGUGGGAGGCUUUGAAGUGUGGACGCCAGUCUGCAUGGAGCCGACCUUGAAAUACCACCCUUUAAUGUUUGAUGUUCUAACGUGGACCCGUAAUCCGGGUUGCGGACAGUGUCUGGUGGGUAGUUUGACUGGGGCGGUCUCCUCCUAAAGAGUAACGGAGGAGCACGAAGGUUGGCUAAUCCUGGUCGGACAUCAGGAGGUUAGUGCAAUGGCAUAAGCCAGCUUGACUGCGAGCGUGACGGCGCGAGCAGGUGCGAAAGCAGGUCAUAGUGAUCCGGUGGUUCUGAAUGGAAGGGCCAUCGCUCAACGGAUAAAAGGUACUCCGGGGAUAACAGGCUGAUACCGCCCAAGAGUUCAUAUCGACGGCGGUGUUUGGCACCUCGAUGUCGGCUCAUCACAUCCUGGGGCUGAAGUAGGUCCCAAGGGUAUGGCUGUUCGCCAUUUAAAGUGGUACGCGAGCUGGGUUUAGAACGUCGUGAGACAGUUCGGUCCCUAUCUGCCGUGGGCGCUGGAGAACUGAGGGGGGCUGCUCCUAGUACGAGAGGACCGGAGUGGACGCAUCACUGGUGUUCGGGUUGUCAUGCCAAUGGCACUGCCCGGUAGCUAAAUGCGGAAGAGAUAAGUGCUGAAAGCAUCUAAGCACGAAACUUGCCCCGAGAUGAGUUCUCCCUGACUCCUUGAGAGUCCUGAAGGAACGUUGAAGACGACGACGUUGAUAGGCCGGGUGUGUAAGCGCAGCGAUGCGUUGAGCUAACCGGUACUAAUGAACCGUGAGGCUUAACCUU
rnacentral:rRNA from 2 species